rnacentral:rRNA from 1 species
ACGGGAGGCAGCAGUGAGGAAUAUUGGUCAAUGGGCGGAAGCCUGAACCAGCCAAGUCGCGUGAAGGAUGAAGGUAUUAUGUAUUGUAAACUUCUUUAGACGUAGAGAAAUAAGCCCCUCGUGAGGGGUGAUGCUAGUAUACGUAGAAUAAGGAUCGGCUAACUCCGUGCCAGCAGCCGCGGUAAUACGGAGGAUCCGAGCGUUAUCCGGAUUUAUUGGGUUUAAAGGGUGCGCAGGCGGCCCUGUAAGUCAGCGGUGAAAUGUCGGGGCUCAACCCCGGCAGUGCCGUUGAUACUGUCGGUCUUGAGUGCGGUGAAGGCAGGCGGAAUGCAGUGUGUAGCGGUGAAAUGCGUAGAUAUGCUGCAGAACUCCGAUAGCGAAGGCAGCUUGCCGUACCUGCACUGACGCUCAUGCACGAAAGCGUGGGGAUCAAACAGGAUUAGAUACCCUGGUA